rnacentral:rRNA from 1 species
AGAGAAUAGAUACCCGGGUAGUCCCAGCCGUAAACGAUGCUCGCUAGGUGUCAGGCAUGGCGCGACCGUGUCUGGUGCCGCAGGGAAGCCGUGAAGCGAGCCACCUGGGAAGUACGGCCGCAAGGCUGAAACUUAAAGGAAUUGGCGGGGGAGCACAACAACGGGUGGAGCCUGCGGUUUAAUUGGACUCAACGCCGGACAACUCACCGGGGGCGACAGCAAUAUGUAGGCCAAGCUGAAGACUUUGCCUGAAUCGCUGAGAGGAGGUGCAUGGCCGUCGCCAGUUCGUACUGUGAAGCAUCCUGUUAAGUCAGGCAACGAGCGAGACCCGUGCCCACUGUUACCAGCAUGUCCUCGGU